rnacentral:lncRNA from 1 species
AAAUAUCUGCACCUCCGGGAUUUUCAGCACCAGCAAGAGUCCCCCCUCCUGGAUUUUCUUCUGGAUUUCUUCCAUCCCAGGAUGGGAUGAAUCCACCUCCUGGAUUUUCUUCUGGAAUUUCAUCUCAUGAUGGGUCUCUGCCCCCUCCUAGAUUCCCUUCUGGAAUUUCAUCUCAGGAAGUGUCUAGGCCCCCACCUAGAUUGCCUUCUCCAUUUUCUUCUGGAUUUUCAUCUCUGGAUAGGCCCAAGU